rnacentral:rRNA from 1 species
GACGAACGCUGGCGGCGUGCCUAACACAUGCAAGUCGAACGGAGAUACGAUUUCGGUUGUAUCUUAGUGGCGAACGGGUGAGUAACGCGUGAGCAACCUGACCUUUAGAGGGGGAGGUAACACUUGGAAACAGGUGCUAAUACCGCAUAAGACCACGACCCGACAUCGGGAUGAGGUCAAAGGAGUAAUCCGCUAGAGGAGGGGCUCGCGUCCCAUUAGAUAGAUGGCGGGGUAACGGCCCACCAUGUCGACGAUGGGUAGCCGAGCUGAGAGGCUGAUCGGCCACACUGGAACUGAGACACGGUCCAGACUCCUACGGGAGGCAGCAGUGGGGAAUAUUGGGCAAUGGGCGCAAGCCUGACCCAGCAACGCCGCGUGAGGGGAAGAAGGCCUUCGGGUUGUAAACCUACUGUCCUUGGUGACGAAAAAAUAGACGGUAGCCAAGGAGGAAGCCCCGGCUAACUACGUGCCAGCAGCCGCGGUAAGAGUACUCUAU